GCCAGACUCCUACGGGAGGCAGCAGUGGGGAAUAUUGCACAAUGGGGGGAACCCUGAUGCAGCGACGCCGCGUGAGUGAAGAAGUAUUUCGGUAUGUAAAGCUCUAUCAGCAGGGAAGAAAAUGACGGUACCUGACUAAGAAGCCCCGGCUAACUACGUGCCAGCAGCCGCGGUAAUACGUAGGGGGCAAGCGUUAUCCGGAUUCACUGGGUGUAAAGGGAGCGUAGACGGCGACGCAAGUCUGGAGUGAAAGCACGGGGCCCAACCCCGGGACUGCUCUGGAAACUGCGUCGCUGGAGUACGGGAGGGGCAGGCGGAAUUCCUGGUGUAGCGGUGAAAUGCGUAGAUAUCAGGAGGAACACCGGCGGCGAAGGCGGCCUGCUGGACCGUGACUGACGUUGAGGCUCGAGAGCGUGGGGAGCAAACAGGAUUAGAUACCCUGGUAUC
rnacentral:rRNA from 1 species